GGUAGACAAGGGGAGCGUGUCGGAUUAUUGGGUCAAGGGUGCGUAGGCGGCGCGUUAAGUCAGUGGUGAAAUCCCGCAGCUCAACUGCGGAACUGUCAUUGAUACUGGCGCACUUGAGUACGGACGAGGUAGGCGGAAUUUAUGGUCGUAGCGGUGAAAUGCAUAGAUACCAUAAAGAACACCGAGUAGCGAAGGCAGCUUACUAUACCGUAACUGACGCUCAGGCACGAAAGCGUGGGGAGCGAACAGGAUUAUAUACCCUGGUUAGCUCCACGCCGUAAACGAUGAUCACUCGACUGUGUGCAAUACACCGCUACGCGUCCAACGCGAAAGCGUUAAGUGAUCCACCUGGGGAGUACGUUCGGCAACAAUGAAACUCAUAGGAAUUGACGGGGGUCCUGCACAACCGUGUGGACCUUGUGGUUUAAUUCGAUGAUACGCGAGGAACCUUAGCUGGGCUCGGAAUGGUACCGGCAUCUUUCAGAAAUGUAUGAGUCUUCGGACCGGGAUCAAAGCUGCUGCAUGGGUGUGGUCAGCUCGUGCCGUGAGGUGUUGGGAUAAGUCCCGCAAUAGAGCGCAACCCUUAUCUUUAGUUGCCAGCAACAUUAUGGUGGGGACUCUAAAGAGACUGCCUGCGCAAGCAGAGAGGCAGGAGGGGACGACGUCAAGUCAUCAUGGCCCUUACGCCCAGGGCUACACACGUGCUACAAUGGUGCAUACAGAGGGUCGCGACACAGUGAUGUGAAGCCAAUCUCACAAAGUGCAUCUCAGUUCAGGAUUGAGGUCUGCAACUCGACCUCAUGACAGUUGGAAUCGCUAGUACAUCGCAUAUCAGCACAUGAUGCGGUGAAUACGUUCCCGGACCAUUGUACACACCGCCCGUCCAGACCAUGGGAGUUGGGAGGACCUGAAGAUGUAUACCGCAGGAUGCAGGCAGGAUCAGCCAGAACGGG
rnacentral:rRNA from 1 species